rnacentral:rRNA from 1 species
UACAGAGGUGGCAAGCGUUGUUCGGAAUUACUGGGCGUAAAGGGCGCGUAGGCGGUCUUCUAAGUCAGACGUGAAAUCCCCAGGCUCAACUUGGGAACUGCGUCUGAUACUGGAUGGCUUGAAUUCGGGAGAGGGAUGCAGAAUUCCAGGUGUAGCGGUGAAAUGCGUAGAUAUCUGGAGGAAUACCGGUGGCGAAGGCGGCAUCCUGGACCGAGAUUGACACUGAUGAGCGAAAGCUAGGGGAGCAAACGGG